rnacentral:rRNA from 1 species
UACGAGGGAUGCAAGCGUUAUCCGGAAUUAUUGGGCGUAAAGAGUUUGUAGGCGGUCAAGUGUGUUUAAUGUUAAAUCUUAAAGCUUAACUUUGAACUGCGUUAAAAACUGCUUGUCUUGAGUAUGGUAGGGGUAAAGGGAAUUCCCAGUGUAGCGGUGAAAUGCGUAGAUAUUGGGAGGAACACCAGUGGCGAAGGCGGCUACCUGGACCGGUUCUGACGCUGAGGCGCGAAAGCGUGGGUAGCAAACAGG